AGAGAGAUAGAACGUGAGAAACAGCGACGCCUGGUGGUCAAGAGGGGCGGGGUUUGCGCUGUUACGUCACGCCCACAAGACCACUCCCGAAUUAUAUUUUACGUAUACACUGAUAAUUGUUUCUAAUAAAAUACGCUUGAGUUCAGUCGUUAUGGAGGUCUAUAUUUUUACACGGAGAAAAUUCGAGGACGUGCGCUUGAGAGGGACUGGCCUUGGUGUGACGUUUACACAAACCACGCCCACUGAAGUGUCUGUUUACGGAAGUACAGGAGCGAAAUGAAUUAUUUGAUCAGAGAUCAUGUAGUUUAACUCAUAAAUAGUUUCAUUUGAAAUAUUAUUAUUAUGCCUCGACGGACUCAUGAAGACACAGAACCCCUGCUUUCGUCCACUCCUAUCGAUGAAGACGAUGACCAGGCAUCCAGCAGAAAGAAACUUUCAUAUGAGGAGGCAGUUGAGAAAGCAGGUUAAAUCGUAUUUGUUUUACCUUUAUGUAUUCAAUGUGCUAAAUAAUUGGUCCAGCAUUUAGUUUCAUAUGUGUGUCCAGAUGUAGUGGUCAGUGAUCCUCAUGUUUCUGUCUGUCUGCAGUUUGAGCUCUUCCACUCUUCCACUUCCUUGGUUAUUAUCUGUGCUGCUUUCUUAUUUGUUUGAUUUUCUAACCAAAUAUUUCAUCAUGUUGCAUUUUAAAAACAGAAAAUUAGGCAUUUGUGAUUCAUUCAUGUUGAGAAAACGGUUACGACAUUCUUAAACUGCAUGUCAAACAAGGACCAUCAAAUAUUCACUUUUCAUUUUUAUCAAAUAAAUUGUCAGGAAUGCAGUUUGUUCCCUAUUUGGUUGCCUUAUCACGUGUCUGAAACCUGCAGAGUCAUGCUUUUUACAAGAAAUACAUAACCGACCCAGUGAUUAAAACUGCUGACAUAACCAUGUGAUUUGAUAACGGCUGUUUCCUUCGACAGGGAUGAUGGUGGGCGGUUAUGUUUGAGGGUAUCUGGCUGAUCGCAGCGGAGUGUUCUGGUCGUCUCACUGGCAGGGAAUGGCAUAUUUGGGGCGGAGGCCAGUUUGGCCCAGAGUUUCUGGCUCUUUUUUCUCCUGCGGUUCUUCAGUGGAGUCAGGGUCGGCGGCUCCAUUCCUGUCAUCUUCUCCUGUUUUUCUGAGUUUCAGCCACGUUUGAGGAGGGGGGUUAUGAUCAGCGCUCUAGGAUGGCUGGAAAUAUUUUAACAGCAGGUAAAACUAUCAUCCUCUGAGCUGAGAGAGCAGUGUCUCUAAAAUGCUGCCUAGAAGGUUGGACUAAUAAUUUGUUCCUGUUUUAAUAUUAAAACAUGAGCAGUAAAUAGCACAAUCAAAACAUCUAGAGAUUUACUCAUGUUUAAACAAGAAUUAAAUUAAAGACAACAAUACAUAGCCAAUAAUGUACAUACAGUAUGAAUAAAAAAUAUAAAAGAUAUAUAAAUAAAUAAAAUAAAUAUGCACAAGACAAAAUUAUAUGUACAAUUGCUAAAAAAUAAAAAAACUAUAUAAAAUAACUAUUAAAUAAAAUAUAUGUGCUUAAGCAAAAUCGUAUUAAUACAUAAAUAUAAUUCAUACAUUUAAAACAGAAAGAUAUAAAGAUAUAAAAUUGUAUAAAGUAUAUGCCACUAUUAAAAAAAAGGCCCUAAAUAAUAAGCUAAUAAAUAGGCAGUACUCAUUGUCAUCUGCACAAAACAUUCACACAUAAAUAUGUUGUGUUUUGUUCAGGUGUGAG